rnacentral:rRNA from 1 species
UAAAGUUGUUGCAGUUAAAAAGCUCGUAGUUGCAUUUCGGGGUCAGCAGGUUGGUCGUGCCACUGGUAUGCACUGGCUUCGCUGAUUCCUCCUUUCUGAAGAACUGUAAUGUCAUUAAUUUGGUGUUGCAGGGAAACAGGACUGUUACUUUGAAAAAAUUAGAGUGUUUAAAGCAGGCUAACGCUUGAAUACAUUAGCAUGGAAUAAUGAAAUAGGACGUUCGAUCCUAUUUUGUUGGUUUCUAGGAUUGACGUAAUGAUUAAUAGGG